CGUAGAUUUACCUGCAGGUAAGCCGAGACGCUCGUCUGCUGACCAAGCGUCUCAGGCAUUGGUUGAUUUGAAGCCGUCCCCUCUUCAAGGUGUUAACAUAAAGAUUAAUAGGGCAUCGGCUCAAACCGUCGAGGAAUUUCCAUCCAGAAAGAUGUUGGCUAUCGUUUCGAGUCGUCCGAUCCUAAGAUCCGUCGUCGAUGCCUUUGCAAAGACGUCUGCACGGAAUCACUCUCAUUACCAAUGGGAUGUUUCUGGACCACCGCGCGUGAGGAUACCGUUUCCGGAAAAAGUGGCUCAUGGAAUCAUAAUCUUCCUCGGUUCCAUUUUGAUUCCGACGUGGGUAACCUAUAACAUCCCAAAGUAUAAUCCACGGGAGGCCGAUGAUGAGUAGAAUGACCUUACAUGACAGUAGAUGAGACUUUUUCUGGAUUUGUAGUGCUCUGCAUUAAACCUAACUUAUUUGCAUGGCUCUAUAUUCGUCGACGUUGUAAUUGAAUUGACAUGCAAUAAAAUUGUUAAGGGCCA